AACGCGGAACGCACUAAUGAUAACCAAAACAAAUAAAGUUGUUUGGCAGUGUUGAAUACUCCAUAAAGCUGCAUCUUCUACUUUCUUCCCCCAUUUUCGAGAGAGAGAGAGAAUGGAUCCACCUCAAGUUCAAUCUAUUGAAAAGUAUCCUCCCAUGGAAGACGACCAAGACAAAGCCAUUAACCAGUGCUGCUCUUGCUUCUACGACUGUACGGAUAGCUGCUUUGACUUCUUAUUCUGUGACCUCUGCUAGAACAAGACUACAUCAAUGAGUUUUCAAUUUCCAUUUUCUCAAUUACCUCUUUUCUUGCUUAAUCUUCUUUCAUUUUCUAUCACAUUUCUUCUUCGCUUUUUUUAUGGCUUUUAUAAUUCAACAAUCAUGUUAUGAUGGAUGCUAUCCUAAUGAAAUCAUUUUAGUAUAGUAAAUUUCAUAUAUAUGGAAAUACAUGAUUUGGUUCAAAUAAGAAUUAUUUUUACAAUAUAAAUUAGAAACUAUUUCCGUCCAUCAAAUUGUAAAGAUCUACAAUGAUAUUCUCUACUAUACAUUUAACUUUUUUUAGCAA